AGCUGGCCUUCUCGGAGGCAUCGUGCACGCCCUGCCCGUCCCAUAUCAUACCUGUGAACUUUUUGGUAGGCGGGUUUGUGUCGGCCUCGAAAGGGGUCGACCGGCCCUCCGGCCGUCUUUAUAUACACACCAUACGAGUCUUUAGAAUGUUUGUGCGUCUCGACGCAUCUUAUAUAUAACUUUCAGCGACGGAUCUCUUGGCUCUCGCAUCGAUGAAGAACGCAGCGAAACGCGAUAAGUAAUGUGAAUUGCAGAAUUCAGUGAAUCAUCGAAUCUUUGAACGCACCUUGCGCUCCUCGGUAUUCCGAGGAGCAUGCCUGUUUGAGUGUCAUGAAAUUAUCAACCCCUCCUCCUUCAUCGGCGGUGGGGCUUGGACUUGGAGGCUUUGCGGGCUUUUAACGAGUCGGCUCCUCUCAAAUGCAUUAGCUCGAACCCCUGCGGAUCGGCCGUCGGUGUGAUAUAAUGUCUACGUCGUGGUCGUGAGCGUCGGAUCGGCUUCUAAUGGUCCCCUUUCGGAGGCGGAAUUUGAACUUGUGACCUCAAAUCAGGUAGGACUACCCGCUGAACUUAAGCAUAUCAAUAAG
rnacentral:rRNA from 1 species